rnacentral:rRNA from 1 species
GACGAACGCUGGCGGCGUGCUUAACACAUGCAAGUCGAACGGACAGGCCCUGCUUUUGUGGGGUGCUCGAGUAGCGAACGGGUGAGUAACACGUGAGUAACCUGCCCUUGACUUUGGGAUAACUUCAGGAAACUGGGGCUAAUACCGGAUAGGAGCUCCUGCUGCACGGUGGGGGUUGGAAAGUUUCGGCGGUUGGGGAUGGACUCGCGGCUUAUCAGCUUGUUGGUGGGGUAGUGGCUUACCAAGGCUUUGACGGGUAGCCGGCCUGAGAGGGUGACCGGCCACAUUGGGACUGAGAUACGGACCAGAAUGCUACGGGAGGCAGCAGGGGGGAGUAUUGCACAGUGGGCGGAAGCCUGAUGCAGCAACGCCGCGUGCGGGAUGACGGCCUUCGGGUUGUAAACCGCUUUCGCCUGUGACGAAGCGUGAGUGACGGUAAUUGGUAAAGAAGCACCGGCUAACUACGUG